AUUGAACGCUGGCGGCAUGCCUUACACAUGCAAGUCGAACGGUAACAGGUUAAGCUGACGAGUGGCGAACGGGUGAGUAAUACAUCGGAACGUGCCCAGUAGUGGGGGAUAGCCCGGCGAAAGCCGGAUUAAUACCGCAUACGACCUAAGGGUGAAAGGGGGGGAUCGCAAGACCUCUCGCUAUUGGAGCUGCCGAUGUCAGAUUAGCUAGUUGGUGGGGUAAAAGCUCACCAAGGCGACGAUCUGUAGCUGGUCUGAGAGGACGACCAGCCACACUGGGACUGAGACACGGCCCAGACUCCUACGGGAGGCAGCAGUGGGGAAUUUUGGACAAUGGGCGCAAGCCUGAUCCAGCCAUGCCGCGUGCGGGAAGAAGGCCUUCGGGUUGUAAACCGCUUUUGUCAGGGAAGAAAUCCUUUGGGUUAAUACCUCGGGGGGAUGACGGUACCUGAAGAAUAAGCACCGGCUAACUACGUG
rnacentral:rRNA from 1 species